ACAGGUAGGCAAAUCCGCCUGUCAUAUACCGAGGCUGCCGAUCGAGCGAGCUUGCUCGCGAAGUGAUUGAACGAGGUUCCAGGAAAAGCCACUAAGCUUCAGCUACACACGACCGUACCGCAAACCGACACUGGUGCGCGAGAUGAGUAUUCUAAGGCGCUUGAGAGAACUCGGGAGAAGGAACUCGGCAAAUUGACACCGUAACUUCGGAAGAAGGUGUGCCCUAUUAGUGUGAAGUGAACAACGGAGCAUGAAUGGGUUGCAAAAAAUCGGUGGCUGCGACUGUUUAUUAAAAACACAGCACUCUGCAAACACGAAAGUGGACGUAUAGGGUGUGACGCCUGCCCGGUGCUGGAAGAUUAAAUGAUGGGGUGCAAGCUCUUGAUUGAAGUCCCAGUAAACGGCGGCCGUAACGAUAACGGUCCUAAGGUAGCGAAAUUCCUUGUCGGGUAAGUUCCGACCUGCACGAAUGGCGUAACGAUGGCCACACUGUCUCCUCCCGAGACUCAGCGAAGUUGAAAUGUUUGUGAUGAUGCAAUCUCCCCGCGGAAAGACGGAAAGACCCCAUGAACCUUUACUGUAGCUUUGUAUUGGACUUUGAACAGAUCUGUGUAGGAUAGGUGGGAGGCUUUGAAGCAGGGUCGCUAGAUCUUGUGGAGCCAACGUUGAAAUACCACCCUGGUGUGUUUGAGGUUCUAACCUAGGUCCAUUAUCUGGAUCGGGGACAGUGCAUGGUAGGCAGUUUGACUGGGGCGGUCUCCUCCCAAAGCGUAACGGAGGAGUUCGAAGGUACGCUAGUUACGGUCGGACAUCGUGACGAUAGUGCAAUGGCAUAAGCGUGCUUAACUGCGAGACUGACAAGUCGAGCAGAUGCGAAAGCAGGACAUAGUGAUCCGGUGGUUCUGUAUGGAAGGGCCAUCGCUCAACGGAUAAAAGGUACUCUGGGGAUAACAGGCUGAUACCGCCCAAGAGUUCAUAUCGACGGCGGUGUUUGGCACCUCGAUGUCGGCUCAUCUCAUCCUGGGGCUGUAGCCGGUCCCAAGGGUAUGGCUGUUCGCCAUUUAAAGAGGUACGUGAGCUGGGUUUAAAACGUCGUGAGACAGUUUGGUCCCUAUCUUCCGUGGGCGCUGCAGAUUUGAGGAAGCCUGCUCCUAGUACGAGAGGACCGGAGUGGACGCACCUCUGGUGUAUCGGUUGUCACGCCAGUGGCAUUGCCGAGUAGCUAUGUGCGGAAGAGAUAACCGCUGAAAGCAUCUAAGCGGGAAACUCGUUCCAAGAUGAGAUCUGCCGGGGCCUUGAGCCCCCUAAAGAGUCGUUCAAGACCAGGACGUUGAUAGGUCGGGUGUGGAAGCGCAGUAAUGCGUUAAGCUAACCGAUACUAAUUGCUCGUGCGGCUUGACCCC
rnacentral:rRNA from 1 species